CCUUUGGCGUCGAGCGGCGGACGGGUGAGUAAUGCUUGGGAAUGUGCCUUAUGGUGGGGGACAACAGUUGGAAACGACUGCUAAUACCGCAUAAUGUCUUCGGACCAAAGUGGGGGACCUUCGGGCCUCACGCCAUAAGAUCAGCCCAAGUGGGAUUAGCUAGUUGGUAAGGUAAUGGCUUACCAAGGCGACGAUCCCUAGCUGGUUUGAGAGGAUGAUCAGCCACACUGGGACUGAGACACGGCCCAGACUCCUACGGGAGGCAGCAGUGGGGAAUAUUGCACAAUGGGCGCAAGCCUGAUGCAGCCAUGCCGCGUGUGUGAAGAAGGCCUUCGGGUUGUAAAGCACUUUCAGUAAGGAGGAAAGGUUAAGUGUUAAUAGCACUUAGCUGUGACGUUACUUACAGAAGAAGCACCGGCUAACUCCGUGCCAGCAGCCGCGGUAAUACGGAGGGUGCGAGCGUUAAUCGGAAUUACUGGGCGUAAAGCGUACGCAGGCGGUUUGUUAAGCGAGAUGUGAAAGCCCCGGGCUCAACCUGGGAACUGCAUUUCGAACUGGCAAACUAGAGUGUGAUAGAGGGUGGUAGAAUUUCAGGUGUA
rnacentral:rRNA from 1 species